rnacentral:tRNA from 1 species
UCCAGAGUAGCUCAAUGGUGGAGCACCCGGCUGUUAACCGGUAGGUUGUGGGU